AACGAACGCUGGCGGCAUGCCUAACACAUGCAAGUCGAACGGGAUCCUAGCUUGCUAGGUGAGAGUGGCGGACGGGUGAGUAACACGUGGGAAUCUGCCUUUUGGUUCGGGAUAACCGCGGGAAACUGCGGCUAAUACCGAAUGCCCUCGUGAGAGGAAAGAUUUAUCGCCAGAAGAGGAGCCCGCGUCCGAUUAGGUAGUUGGUGGGGUAAAGGCCUACCAAGCCGACGAUCGGUAGCUGGUCUGAGAGGAUGAUCAGCCACACUGGGACUGAGAUACGGCCCAGACUCCUACGGGAGGCAGCAGUGGGAAUAUUGGACAAUGGGGGCAACCCUGAUCCAGCAAUGCCGCGUGAGUGAUGAAGGCCUUAGGGUUGUAAAGCUCUUUUGCCAGGGAAGAUGAUGACUGUACCAGGAGAAUAAGCCCCGGCUAACUUCGUGCCAGCAGCCGCGGU
rnacentral:rRNA from 1 species